CGGGGGGAGCGGGCCGGAGGCAGGCCCGCCCGGGCCGGGGGCUCGGCGCACACCCUUGGGAGACCGGGCCGCAGCCGCCAGUUGGCCAUACGUAAACUCUCAGCGCAACCGGGGGGCUCCACGCUUCCUCCCCGCCCAGGGAGCAAGUCUAAACGGUGGCCUGUGUUCUGGACCGAAGGGAGGAGGACACUCGAUACCAUCCCCUAGAGAUAUUGCUAGACAUCCUUGUGUACUGUGGCUUGACACAGCCAGGAGGAGCCCAGCUGAGGCCACCUAAGAUGGAGAGUAGAUGGGGGCUUGAUUUUACAAUCUGCAGUCACUGAACCACUUAGAGAAUCCCAGUUUUAUUUGGAGACAGCCAGAAGACAGCCUCCCUGAGAAGGCUAGGUUCCAGCCCAUGAGAUGUAAACAGAAGUUCCUACUUGGAACAUCCAAGUAGGCUGCUUAAAAGAAGCUGACUCCAUUAAAAGGGGAAAAGCUGAGGCCUCGUGAGGCGCUGUUUGAGGAUUCCUAGAGGCCCUGAGGGAAUUUUUGGACCCGGCCUGCGCGUUAGAGAGAAAAACGUCGGCCUCCAGCGGAAAAUGAAGGCGAGCACUCGGGCCCG